rnacentral:tRNA from 1 species
UCGGGUAUGGUGUAACGGUAACAUUUCUGACUCUCAACAUCCUCCGGGAUCGAGCACUCAGGGGCCCGGGGUUCGAUUCCCCGUAUCCGAG